rnacentral:tmRNA from 1 species
GGGGUCGACUGGUUUUGACAGCGAGACCGAGUUGAUUGUAAGCAUGUAGAGCGCUGGGCCACAGCUCUUAAAUCUCAUGAUUCAUCUUUUUUAAACGGCGAGAAUAACUACGCCCUAGCAGCAUAAUCUGAAUUAUAGUAAGAUGUGCCUCGGCUCGUAAGACGAGCAUGCAGGAAUUCUCUCAAAGGCCUUGGUUUAUGGCACUUGAUAUAGAGAAUUCGUAAAAAUAGACCUAUCCUCAUCAGGGCUUUGAUGGUGAGGAGACACUCAAGUGAAGACAAGCGGUGCUUUGGUAGUUAUCGACCGGUGCAUCGACUGAAAUUAAAUGAUGACUAAACAUGUAGAAAGCGAUGAAGUCGCUCGUUUGGACGGCGGUUCGAAUCCGCCCGACUCCACAG